rnacentral:rRNA from 1 species
UCCUACGGGAGGCAGCAGUGGGGAAUAUUGGGCAAUGGGCGGAAGCCUGACCCAGCGACGCCGCGUGAAGGAGGAAGGCUUUCGAGUUGUAAACUUCUUUGGGGAGGGACGAAGAUGACGGUACCUCCAGAACAAGCCACGGCUAACUACGUGCCAGCAGCCGCGGUAAUACGUAGGUGGCGAGCGUUAUCCGGAUUUACUGGGUGUAAAGGGCGCGCAGGCGGCCCUGGAAGUCAGAUGUGAAAGAUCAAGGCUUAACUUUGACAGGUCAUCUGAAACUUUGGGGCUUGAGUAUCAGAGGGGAAAGUGGAAUUCCUAGUGGAGCGGUAAAAUGCACAGAGAUUAGGAGGAACACCGGUGGCGAAGGCGACUUUCUGGCUGACAACUGACGCUGAGGCGCGAAAGCGUGGGGAGCAAACAGGAUUAGAUACCCUGGUAGUCCACGCCGUAAACGAUGAUUACUGGGUGUAGGGAGUAUCGACUCUCUCUGUGCCGAAGCAAACGCGAUAAGUAAUCCACCUGGGGAGUACGGCCGCAAGGCUAAAACUCAAAGGAAUUGACGGGGACCCGCACAAGCAGUGGAGUAUGUGGUUUAAUUCGAGGCAACGCGAAGAACCUUACCAGGGAUUGACAUCCUGCGCUAGGCUUGGAGACAGGUUGUUCCUUCGGGACGCAGAGACAGGUGGUGCAUGGUUGUCGUCAGCUCGUGUCGUGAGAUGUUCGGUUAAGUCCGGCAACGAGCGCAACCCUUGUUGUCAGUUACCAUCAUUAAGUUGGGGACUUUGGCGAGACUGCCGUUGACAAAACGGAGGAAGGUGGGGAUGACGUCAAAUCAUCAUGCCCCUUAUAUCCUGGGCUACACACGUACUACAAUGGGCGUUACAGCGGGCAGCCACACCGCGAGGUGGAGCGAAUCCCGAAAGGCGUCCUCAGUUCGGAUUGCAGGCUGCAACUCGCCUGCAUGAAGUCGGAAUUGCUAGUAAUGGCAGGUCAGCAUACUGCCGUGAAUACGUUCCCGGGCCUUGUACACACCGCCCGUCACACCAUGAGAGUCUGUAACACCCGAAGUCAGUAGUCUAACCUGAUUAGAUUAGGGGGACGCUGCCGAAGGUGGGAUAGAUAAUUGGGGGUGAAGUCGUAACAAGGUAACCA